rnacentral:rRNA from 1 species
GUUUGAUCCUGGCUCAGAGCGAACGUUAGCGGCAGGCUUAACACAUGCAAGUCGAGCGAGAAAGGGGCUUCGGCUCCGAGUAAAGCGGCGGACGGGUGCGUAACACGUGGAUAAUCUGCCUCGUGGCGGGGGACAACAGUCCGAAAGGACUGCUAAUACCGCAUGUCAGGUCGGAAACUCCGGUUUCUGACGAAAAAGAGGGCGUCCGCAAGGAGCUCUCACCACGAGAUGAGUCCGCGUCCCAUCAGCUAGUUGGCGGUGUAAUGGACCACCCAAAGGCUUAGACGGGUAGCUGGUCUGAGAGGAUGACCAGCCACACUGGGACUGAGACACGGCCCCAGACUCCUACGGGAGGCAGCAGUGGGGAAUAUUGGACAAUGGGGAAACCUGACGCAGCAACGCCGACGUGUGUGAUGAAGGCCUCGGUCGUAAG